rnacentral:tRNA from 7 species
GCGGGCGUGGUGGAAUUGGUAGACACGCUAGACUUAGGAUCUAGUGCCGCAAGGUGUGAGAGUUCGAGUCUCUCCGCCCGCACAA